rnacentral:misc_RNA from 1 species
UUUUUUCUUCUUUUUCCCCUUUUCAGUUUGCACUCCAGCUUCAGUGUUCUAGUGCCAUUCGCAUUAUUGCCCCAAACCUUUAGCAAAACUAACGUCUUUUCAUGAGUUUAUACUGAAACUCCUCUCUAUUUCACAGUAUUCUUAGCUCUAUUAGCCAUUUCUUGGCACUAUAAGCACUAGGUCUUAUGAAUUUUGAUUCAAUUUGAGAAAUUUCAAAGUACCUUAUUACAUUCUUAGGUGUUGUCACUUUUCCAGGUGCUAUGUGAAAUCUAAGCUUAAAUUUGUGUUUGAACAUAUUUGGAGUUGUGUUAAUGCUAUGAUUACCUCUAAAUUUAUAUUUGUAGAAAUGGCACUACCUCCCCUGCUACAGGUACCUUGAAAACUCUGUUAAGUACCAUCUCCCCUACUACAGGUAUCUCACCAAUUGGUUCCUUUGGUACUUGGGUGUUUUACUCUACCUGCCUAACUCAUUUGCCCAAGUUGUAAAAGGUAAUAAUUAAACUACCUGCUAGAUCAUACUUGCUCUAUUGUACAUUUUAUGCUUGCUUUGUAGGUUGUGUGUUUGGUUAUUAACUUCGAAGAUUAGUCCAAGCUGAGCCUCUAUUUCAAUAAGUCCCUAGUACAUGUUUUUCAUAAUUUGAAACUCUUGAAACCAACUCCCUUGGUCAUUUCCCUAGGUACCUUUUGUUGAUCCACUUUUCUGUCUUUAUAUGUAGAACCUUUAUGUGGAAAAUGUGAGUGUAAGUCCUCUAGCACUUCCUCAUUAGGUGCUGGUAUUACCUUUCUCCUUUUGAAAUACUAGGGAGUUGUCUAUCUAGCUUUGUUCUAGAGCUAUUUAUUGAAUCCAAGUUUCCUCUAAGGAUU